UUAUAAUACACCUGAUGUUUAGUCACAAGACUCGAACAGACUUGUAGGUUCAGAUAAAACUGGCUUAACUGAAAGAACAUAAAACCUAAGAGUACGCAGCGGAAAAACAUAAUCUGAUUACAUGUGUGAAGACAUGUAUCCAAGAGUUCAUUCAUUUAACUUAUGACAAAAGCUCCGCUCUUCACUUCAUCUCCAUCAGCCACUGCUCAACCUGCACAUUUAGAAAUAUAUGCAAGGCUGAGUACGAGAGUACUCAGUGGGCACGUAUGCCUAAAUAUAAAAAAAAUACAUGCAUCAUAAAACUAGUAAAUUAGUCAUGCCAUCAUAAACAGUACAGCAAGGGAGUUUUCGUGAAAUAGGCCCAAGCUUACUAAAUUCAUUUGUGAUUCUUAAAGUUCGUCUGCAGACUAAGUUCUCUUGUAAUCUAUCAUAUCUGGAACUGUGUGCCGGAGAGGUGGCCACCUCUCACGGUCACUCGACCGGCCAACCCGCUAGAUGACUCACGGUCCCUCGUGUACACAAGUCAAGGCAGGAUAGCUAUCAACUGCUCAAGACCCGAAUUCGAUUACAUCAUUGGCAAUGCCAAAGCAGAUAGAUAUCAUACUAAAACUGAAACAUUUUAUGGCAAGACAAUACUUGAAAUAACUUAGAAAUAACUUGUUCAAAGGUAGCAUUAAACUUGUUUGAUAGAUAUAUAAAACUGAAAUUAACAGUUAAACAUCUCAUGCAUUCAUCUGUAUAAGAGGCCUACGACACGUAGGGGAUCUCCAUAUACGUAUAGUGAAAGUAAUGCCCACCUGAUCCUCAGUGUGGAAGAGAGGUGAUCUUAAGCGGUG
rnacentral:lncRNA from 1 species